rnacentral:rRNA from 1 species
AUGGCGUCUCGCCGUCGUCCUACCUCGCUAGUCUUCCUGGUGUUGCUAUACCUCUACCAUGGGCCGCGCUGGGCCUUCUCGCUCUCCUUCAACCUCAACUUCUCCGACCCCAGCGCCGCUUCAUCGAUCGCCUUCACCGGCGAUGCAUUCCCAACUCCAUCAACGCUCGAGCUCACAAAAAAUACACGUAUGUCAAAUAUUCAGUACAGCGUCGGCCGGGCAUCGUACGCGCAAAAGGUGCCGCUGUGGAGCAACGCCACCGGCGAGAUGGCUAGCUUCACCACCACCUUCUCCUUCCGUAUAACUCCGGACAACCUCAGCCUGCCGUAUACAGGCGAUGGGAUGGCCUUCUUCCUCGGGCAUUUCCCUUCGGUGAUCCCGCGGGAAAGCGACGGCGGCAGCCUCGGCCUCCUCCCGGCCAGCACUAACGGGACAGGCGACACCCGGAUCGUGGCCGUGGAGUUCGACACUUACCCCAACACUCUUGGUGGCUCAUCGUACUAG